GACGUAGGGCGCAAGCGUUGUCCGGAUUUAUUGGGCGUAAAGAGCUCGUAGGCGGCCUGUCGCGUCGGGAGUGAAAACUCAGGGCUUAACCCUGAGCCUGCUUCCGAUACGGGCAGACUAGAGGUAUGCAGGGGAGAACGGAAUUCCUGGUGUAGCGGUGAAAUGCGCAGAUAUCAGGAGGAACACCGGUGGCGAAGGCGGUUCUCUGGGCAUUACCUGACGCUGAGGAGCGAAAGUGUGGGGAGCGAACAGG
rnacentral:rRNA from 1 species